rfam:Oryza sativa Japonica Group DNA, chromosome 6, cultivar: Nipponbare, complete sequence.
UUUAAGUGCGGUUGUGAGUUUCCGUAUUCAACAUUUGACUGCUCAUCUUAUUUGAAAUUUUUACAUGAUUAGUAUUUUUAUUUUUAUUAGAUGAUAAAAUAUAAAUAGUACUUUAUAUGUGAAUUAAAUUUUUAAAUUUUUUAAGACUGACGGUCAAAUGUUGGACACGGAACCCACAACUGCACUUAAA